AUGAUGCCUGCCAAACAUCUAGGUUUUUCAGUCCGAUUAUUCUAGGUUUAUUUCGGUUUCCGUUUUCCUAAAAAGUUUCGGUUUGUCAUUAAGUUACAAAGGUCUGCCAAAUUGUUUUAACGCAGACGCCAUGAAGCUGCUAUCUGUUAUUUUCAUUUGCCUGACUAUCUUCAUGCUGCUCCCAGACGCACAUGGACGUCGUUUCCACUACGUUAAAACUCUUUCACGUGGUGAAGAUAGCGACAGUGAGGGAAGAAGGCCCCUCAACGAGAAAUCUGGUCAUGUCGUGAAGAAGAUUGGGCAGCUGCUGAACAAACAGAUUCAGAACGAAGUGCAGGAACAGGUGUUCGACAAAGUUCACGAGAACAUCAUAGAACCUGUAGGUGAAGUCUUGGAGUAGACGUAGCUUGCGUCGUGGGUUAUCGUUAAUAUGUCAUUUAGUUUACUUGUCACGAUUUCUACAGAAGUACACAUCGAAUUAUUGUGGCAACACAAGUACAGCGCCAAGUAAUGUUUACGUGAUACACCAAUACAAAGACACAGCACAUCCAUUGCAGAA